AAAAAUAAAGACUAUAAAAUAACAAAUACAACAUUUUCUGAUCUAGAUUCUGAUAAAACUUCUCCAGAUUUGGUAAAUAAUUCAAUGACAGUACUGGAAAAGAAUCUAGAUUAUGAACGUAAAAAAAACAAUGAGUUACAACAUGAAAUAGAAAAUAAUGAAGUAGAAAUUAAUCAUCUAAAAAAAUAUCAA